rnacentral:rRNA from 1 species
UACGUAGGGUGCAAGCGUUGUCCGGAUUUAUUGGGCGUAAAGAGCGUGUAGGCGGCCAGGUAGGUCUGCUGUGAAAACUCGAGGCUUAACCUCGAGCUGGCGGCGGAAACCAUCUGGCUAGAGUCCGGAAGAGGAGAAUGGAAUUCCCGGUGUAGCGGUGAAAUGCGCAGAUAUCGGGAAGAACACCCGUGGCGAAGGCGGUUCUCUGGGACGGUACUGACGCUGAGACGCGAAAGCGUGGGGAGCGAACAGG